GAUGAACGCUGGCGGCGUGCCUAAUACAUGCAAGUCGAGCGAACGGACGAUAAGCUUGCUUCUCUGAUGUUAGCGGCGGACGGGUGAGUAACACGUGGAUAACCUACCUAUAAGACUGGGAUAACUUCGGGAAACCGGAGCUAAUACUGGAUGAUAUUUUGAACCGCAUGGUUCAAAAGUGAAAGACGGUCUUGCUGUUACUUAUAGAUGGAUCCGCGCUGCAUUAGCUAGUUGGUAAGGUAACGGCUUACCAAGGCAACGAUGCGUAGCCGACCUGAGAGGGUGAUCGGCCACACUGGAACUGAGACACGGUCCAGACUCCUACGGGAGGCAGCAGUAGGGAAUCUUCCGCAAUGGGCGAAAGCCUGACGGAGCAACGCCGCGUGGGUGAUGAAGGUCUUCGGAUCGUAAAACUCUGUUAUUAGGGAAGAACAUAUGUGUAAGAAACUGUGCACAUCUUGACGGUACCUAAUCAGAAAGCAACGGCUAACUACGUG
rnacentral:rRNA from 1 species